GCCCAGACUCCUACGGGAGGCAGCAGUGGGGAAUAUUGCACAAUGGGGGAAACCCUGAUGCAGCGACGCCGCGUGAGUGAAGAAGUAUUUCGGUACGUAAAGCUCUAUCAGCAGGGAAGAAAAUGACGGUACCUGACUAAGAAGCCCCGGCUAACUACGUGCCAGCAGCCGCGGUAAUACGUAGGGGGCAAGCGUUAUCCGGAUUUACUGGGUGUAAAGGGAGCGUAGACGGCAGCGCAAGUCUGGAGUGAAAUCCCAUGGCUUAACCAUGGAACUGCUUUGGAAACUGUGCAGCUGGAGUGCAGGAGAGGUAAGCGGAAUUCCUAGUGUAGCGGUGAAAUGCGUAGAUAUUAGGAAGAACACCAGUGGCGAAGGCGGCUUUCUGGACUGAAACUGACGCUGAGGCACGAAAGCGUGGGGAGCGAACAGGAUUAGAUACCCGCGUAUC
rnacentral:rRNA from 1 species